rnacentral:rRNA from 1 species
AUGUGGACGAGGAGGCAACAGAUCGGACGAGGAGGCAACAGAUCGGGAGGCGGGCAAGAGGAACCAGGUGGUUCUCCUUCCAUGGUCGGGCCUCGACCAGCCGCAUCUUCCUCUCCCAGUCCGGCUGAGAGGAGUGGCGGAUCCGCCUCCUCAAGCGAGCAGGGGCGCACGGGGAUUCGAUCCAGGGAUCUCCUUGCGAGAGGCCGCCACCGUACCGACUCCAACCUGCAGCCUGUUCCAACUCAGAAAGUGACAGUUAUACAAGAAGAACCAGAUGCCACUGAAGAUGCCAACGCAGCGUGGAGGAGCCGGCUUCCCGUGUCAGAGUUGCGUGUACUUGCGGGCUACUUCACCGUCACCAGCCCAUCUGUAGGGAUGGACAUAUGGAUUGAGUGGUACCCACCUGAAAGAUACACAUCUCAGCAGCCAAGAACUUCAAUAAAAAUGUAUAUCCCAACUCCUUUUAUAAUCUUGAAUGCUUCUCGGUCAACGUCGGUGUCACUUCCAGUCUUGGAUGCUACCAGGAUGCCAGGGAAGAGGUGUGAAAUUCUCAACUUAGGAAGGAACAUACAACCUGUAAUGUGUCGAUCACUAACUAAUAAACAGGAGUCUGAUGUUGGAAAGAAGCAACUGCGGCUCUCCCUCGGCUAUGCCUGGAUGUUCGAGCUGUCAGUGUGGUACAGGAGCAGCAGCCACCAUCGCUGUCAAGUAGCUCCAGCAAUCACGUGCUCACUCUUGCUUCACAGACUAUGUAUGAAAAUUGGAGGUUUUAGGAUCUUUGGAAGUUUUUUGAGGCAUCACCCUUCUUGUCCGCAGUUAAAAGGUUUGACGCAGUACAGUGCGGGGGAGGCGGUGUCCUCUGCAGCUAGGUCUACUUGCUGGCGACCUCACCAUCACCAACCCAUCUACAGAUCCAGAAGCUCACGCAUGGAGGACAUGGACAUUGGUAUCGUCUGUGACGAGGGUUCCCCAGGAUCAAUAGCGUCAAGGACAGGAACGCCUGUGCCCAAUGAUAAUGACUACCUGAUAGUGAUUCCUUAUGCUCACAUCUUUGGCCUCAUGCUGCAAGCUCUAAAGCUGCCCCCUGCAACUUACCAGCACAAAAUAUACCCAGGCGGAAAGAAUCGUGUGACAGUGACUUUCAUUUCUACUUUGGAAUUGCUAGAUGGUUCACUUGUCCCGAGUUCUAUACCAGGUGCAAUCUUAGAUAGCUAUGAAGAUGCAGAAGACUGCUGCUAUGGAGGCUAUUACACAUGGAGAAUGCAUAUGGCAAAGAAAUGA